CACCUACGGGAGGCUGCAGUGGGGAAUUUUGGACAAUGGGCGAAAGCCUGAUCCAGCAAUGCCGCGUGCAGGAAGAAGGCCUUCGGGUUGUAAACUGCUUUUGUACGGAACGAAACGGCUCGCUUUAAUACAGUGGGCUAAUGACGGUACCGUAAGAAUAAGCACCGGCUAACUACGUGCCAGCAGCCGCGGUAAUACGUAGGGUGCGAGCGUUAAUCGGAAUUACUGGGCGUAAAGCGUGCGCAGGCGGUUAUGUAAGACAGUUGUGAAAUCCCCGGGCUUAACCUGGGAAUUGCAUCUGUGACUGCAUGGCUGGAGUACGGUAGAGGGGGAUGGAAUUCCGCGUGUAGCAGUGAAAUGCGUAGAUAUGCGGAGGAACACCGAUGGCGAAGGCAAUCCCCUGGACCUGUACUGACGCUCAUGCACGAAAGCGUGGGGAGCAAACAGGAUUAGAUACCCUGGUAGUCCACGCCCUGAACGAUGUCAACUGGUUGUUGGGUGCAUUAGUACUCAGUAACGAAGCUAACGCGUGAAGUGACC
rnacentral:rRNA from 1 species